CCUAUAAAAAACACAAACCCGGAACGUACAGAAACGGCUUCUGUAAAACCAGAACUCUCCUUCGGGAGGCGGAGGAGGAAGAAGCUGCCGGAGGGUCUGCAUUUUAGCCUUCUGAUGACCCUCUGCUCAUUAGUCAAGAGUUUGCCUGAGACAAAGGACCAGAGGAAUAUUUUGAGCUUAGGCGGGAUCGGAAGAGACCAGUUACUCAACCAUCCAUAGUUUUGAUAUCCUUGAUCAUCACACAGAAGCUUGUAAGCAGAUUUAAAAGAGAAAAUGCCAGAAGAGGUACUUCCCCAAAUUAGCUUAUCCGGCAAAUCACUAAUAGCUAAAGGAACAACAGUGAUUUUAUCAACAAUGUCAUCAGGUAGAUUAGCAUGUAACAUAGGUAUGUUCCAAUCAUUAUUGAUCCAAAAAUCCUGCACAAGAGAAUUAAUAUCAACAA